rnacentral:rRNA from 1 species
CACGUAGGGCGCAAGCGUUGUCCGGAAUUAUUGGGCGUAAAGAGCUCGUAGGCGGUCUGUUACGUCUGCUGUGAAAACCCGGGGCUUAACCCUGGGCUUGCAGUGGAUACGGGCAGACUAGAGGCAGGUAGGGGAGAAUGGAAUUCCCGGUGUAGCGGUGAAAUGCGCAGAUAUCAGGAGGAACACCGAUGGCGAAGGCAGGUCUCUGGGCAUUAACUGACGCUGAGGAGCGAAAGCAUGGGGAGCGAACAGG